GUGAGAAUAUAGCUGUUUAUGAACUAGGAAGCUGGCCCUCACCAGACACUGAAUCGGCUGGCACCUUGAUCUUGAACUUCCCAGACUCCAGAACUGAUAGCAAGGAGGCCUGUGGCUGGAGCAGAGGCAGCAGGAAGGAGAGAGACUGAGGAAAGAUGAAACUGCAGAGGUUACAGGUGGCCAGAAGAAGCAGGGCCACUGCGGGCCAGAAUUUCUCUACAAAUUUAUGAAUAUAAAAAAGCAACUUACGAAAAAAGAAAGUGCUGAAUGAAGACAAGAUCACUUCCAUAAAUGAGGUACCUGCAGUCUUACUCUGGACAGAAAGACCUACAAGGACAUUGACCAGAUGUCUCAUUCAUUUCUCUAACCCCCAGAACAAUGAAUUCUCAGCCAAUGUUCAACCACUAUAUGUCUGAUGACAGACCACAGACACU